rnacentral:lncRNA from 1 species
CAUGCUCCCAAAUAAAUUCAAUUCAUGGGCACUUCCCUGCUGAGAUUUUUGUUAUCAUUCAUUUAAUUAUCUUGCCAAGCUUUACUGUUACAGCAAUCGUUUUAGCUUUUUUGUCAAAAAAGUAACAGAAUGUCUGCAACAGCCUUAUACAUUUCCUGCACUUGAUAUUGACAAUAUACCAAUAUACACUUCAGAUUUCCAUUGCAGUCUCCAAAGUUCCUUAGAAACUUCAGGUGACCGACUUUAUUCUUUUCCAUAAGCAUUGCGAUUUGGUUUUAAUCUGCCACUUUGCUGUAUUUAUUGUAUACAGGCCAGAAAUUAAUUCCCUAAUUAAUGUGAUUAGGGUUAUGGAGAAUAUAAACUGAAAUAACCAUGUGCAGAGCCUAAGUGCCUUUUCCUUUUGGAAUUUUAUUUAUAAAACUUAACUUUUUUAAUUUACAGAUUUUGAUUAAUUUGAUUUAAAAAAACAACUUAAAUGAAUAGGUUUACAAUUGCUAAUAAGAAAAUAUUAUUUGGAAAUUGUGCAAUUAAUUUGAGUUUUGUAGGAUAUCAAAUGGGUACAAAUGCCUCUUUGGAAAGAAUGAAGUCAUUAUUUUUUUUUGAAACAUUUUUUUUUGAAAGAUUUUCCAAAUCUUUAGGCAUCUGAUUUGAUGGUACUUAAGAACAGAAACUUCAAUCUCUAACAAACUUUUAAAUAUUUCCAAAUAUUGAAUUUAAUUUAGAAGUCUGAAGGUAUUAGGAACAAACAUAAAUAAGAUACAUAUAUAAUUUUUCUGGCCAUCCAUUAUGUACUAUAUCAUACAUAUAUCUAUAUACUACAUGGUUCAUAGGAUAUUUAUGAUGGCCCUUUUAGAUCCAUAUAUUUACAAAUAACAUUGUAUAUCUUCCUAAAUUUGUAAUAAUAUGACAGGAUUCAGUAUUCCAUGGAAAGCCAAGCCAAAGUACAAGCAGUGUUGUGUUGAAAUAAAUGAUAACAAAGCUUUAAAGAGAUUUGUAAGACAAAAUAACGAAAACUCAGCAGCUGAAGUUCAAAUAAGGGGACCAUUUUUGAAUGCCAUUUUCAGAGCUGAUAUCUAUAUUAGAUGAAGUGUUUAAAAAGUUUUAGUGUUUUUGAUUCAUUCUUUCUCCGCAUUCAUAUCAAUUAGCAAAUUAAUGCGUCAUAUAUCAUGGUUUUUGUAAAAAAAAAAAAGGGCCAUUGGGUUGUCAUGGUUCAGUUUGUGUUUG